AGUGAACGCUGGCGGUAGGCCUAACACAUGCAAGUCGAACGGCAGCACAGUAAGAGCUUGCUCUUACGGGUGGCGAGUGGCGGACGGGUGAGGAAUACAUCUGAAUCUACUUUUUCGUGGGGGAUAACGUAGGGAAACUUAUGCUAAUACCGCAUACGACCUACGGGUGAAAGCAGGGGAUCUUCGGACCUUGCGCGAUUGAAUGAGCCGAUGUCGGAUUAGCUAGUUGGCGGGGUAAAGGCCCACCAAGGCGACGAUCCGUAGCUGGUCUGAGAGGAUGAUCAGCCACACUGGAACUGAGACACGGUCCAGACUCCUACGGGAGGCAGCAGUGGGGAAUAUUGGACAAUGGGCGCAAGCCUGAUCCAGCCAUACCGCGUGGGUGAAGAAGGCCUUCGGGUUGUAAAGCCCUUUUGUUGGGAAAGAAAAGCAGCAGGUUAAUACCCCGCUGUUCUGACGGUACCCAAAGAAUAAGCACCGGCUAACUUCGUG
rnacentral:rRNA from 1 species